CCUACGGGGGGCAGCAGUGAGGAAUAUUGGUCAAUGGGAGAGAUCCUGAACCAGCCAAGCCGCGUGAGGGAAGACGGCCCUAUGGGUUGUAAACCUCUUUUGUCGGAGAACAAAACCCGGGACGUGUCCCGGACUGCGUGUAUCCGAAGAAAAAGCAUCGGCUAACUCCGUGCCAGCAGCCGCGGUAAUACGUAGGGAGCAAGCGUUGUCCGGAUUUACUGGGUGUAAAGGGUGCGUAGGCGGCUUUGCAAGUCAGAAGUGAAAUCCAUGGGCUUAACCCAUGAACUGCUUUUGAAACUGCAGAGCUUGAGUGGAGUAGAGGUAGGCGGAAUUCCCGGUGUAGCGGUGAAAUGCGUAGAGAUCGGGAGGAACACCAGUGGCGAAGGCGGCCUACUGGGCUCUAACUGACGCUGAGGCACGAAAGCGUGGGUAGCAAACAGGAUUAGAUACCCGAGUAGUC
rnacentral:rRNA from 1 species